GUCUCAGCCUGGUCUGUCUCAUAGGAGGUGCUGCCGUCAGAUUCUUCCAUGACUGCCUUCUAGUCCACACAGCCAGGUCAGGUCUGAGGAUACCACUCAAGGCCCUGGCCAGACGCUUCCUGCUUUGAAAAUUGCUUCAAAGCCAUUGCCGGGCCACCUGCUCUCCAGGAUGACUUUCAAAUUCGUGCCUUCUUCCCGCUGGCUUCUCUCAGGGCCACAGCAGCUGAGAAAGCUGUCCUCUCAUCCACAUGGUACCUCUGCAAAAGGAGAAAGGAAGCCUUGCCCUAAGAGUCGCUGGGGGGAAACCACUGCUCUGAUUGGAUCAGACUUGGCCAAGUACUCAUCAUGAACUUCUACCUGAGAGAUGGAGAAGACUGUUUUUGGCUUCCCGGAAUAUGUAAUCUCCAUGUGCAACUACUCUGUGUACUUUCAAAUAAUGCAACAUCAUGCCAUGGGUGGUGCUGGUGCCUUGAAACAAUAAAAUAUCCAGU